UAGUGAGUUUGAUCCUGGCUCAGAACGAACGCUGGCGGCAGGCUUAACACAUGCAAGUCGAACGGGUGUAGCAAUACAUCAGUGGCAGACGGGUGAGUAACACGUGGGAACCUUCCUAGGGGUACGGAACAACUCAGGGAAACUUGAGCUAAUACCGUAUACGUCCGUGAGGAGAAAGAUUUAUCGCCCUUAGACGGGCCCGCGUCUGAUUAGGUUGUUGGUGGGGUAAUGGCCUACCAAGCCUGCGAUCGGUAGCUGGCCUGAGAGGACGAUCAGCCACACUGGGACUGAGACACGGCCCAGACUCCGUACGGGGAGGCA
rnacentral:rRNA from 1 species